rnacentral:rRNA from 1 species
UACGGGGGGGGUAAGCGUUGUUCGGAAUUACUGGGCGUAAAGGGCUCGUAGGCGGCCAACUAAGUCAUACGUGAAAUCCCUCAGCUUAACUGGGGAACUGCGUGUGAUACUGGAUGGCUUGGAUUUGGGAGAGGGAUGCGGAAUUCCAGGUGUAGCGGUGAAAUGCGUAGAUAUCUGGAGGAACACCGGUGGCGAAGGCGGCAUCCUGGACCAAUAUUGACGCUGAGAAACGAAAGCCAGGGGAGCAAACGGG